CUUGGUCAUUUAGAGGAAGUAAAAGUCGUAACAAGGUUUCCGUAGGUGAACCUGCGGAAGGAUCAUUACCGAAUCGUCGAACACGGGUUGUUGCUGGCCCCCAAACGGGGCAUGUGCACGCUCUGUUUACACAUCCACUCACACCUGUGCACCCUCUGUAGUUCUGUGGAUCGGAAGACACCGUCUUCCUUCCGUAGCUCUACGUCUUUACACACACACCGUAGCGAUGUCUCAUGGAAUGUUUUUCGCGUUUAACGCAAUACAAUACAACUUUCAGCAACGGAUCUCUUGGCUCUCGCAUCGAUGAAGAACGCAGCGAAAUGCGAUAAGUAAUGUGAAUUGCAGAAUUCAGUGAAUCAUCGAAUCUUUGAACGCACAUUGCGCUCCUUGGUAUUCCGAGGAGUAUGCCUGUUUCAGUAUCAUGAGCACUCUCACACCUAACCUUUGGGUUUAUGGCGUGGAAUUGGAAUGCGCCGACUGUCAUGGUUGGCCCUUCUAAAAUGUAGUUCUUGGCUGUCACCUAAUACAGCAGUUUGGCCUAAUAGUUUUGGCAUUCAUUGUCAAAUCUUUGGCUAACAUUUGCUCCAGGAGUCAGUCUUGAUAAUACAGAAAACUCAUUUCAAAUUUUGAUCUGAAAUCAGGUAGGGCUACCCGCUGAACUUAAGCAUAUCAAUAAGCGGAGGAA
rnacentral:rRNA from 1 species